AGCAGAAAGAUGGCAAUUUAAUUACUAUAUCAGACAGAAGAGAAUGGAGGCCGGCUUGUGUGUUUUAUCCACCCAUUUUUCCCCUGGGGAUGCCCACAUUUAACAAGAGAGAUGUUAUGAUGUCUCUCUUCACUCUGAGUUCAAAAGACCAGGAACUGGCCCCCUCUGAAACCAUGAGCCAAGCUAUGUUGCUUUAGCAAACUAAGGAAUUGUUAGCAGCCCAGGAAGGGAUGCAAAUUUGUGCUCUUAUUU